UUAAGCGACUAAGCGUACACGGUGGAUGCCCUGGCAGUCAGAGGCGAUGAAGGACGUGCUAAUCUGCGAUAAGCGCCGGUAAGGUGAUAUGAACCGUUAUAACCGGCGAUAUCCGAAUGGGGAAACCCAGUGUGACUCGUCACACUAUCAUUAACUGAAUCCAUAGGUUAAUGAGGCGAACCGGGGGAACUGAAACAUCUAAGUACCCCGAGGAAAAGAAAUCAACCGAGAUUCCCCCAGUAGCGGCGAGCGAACGGGGAGGAGCCCAGAGCCUGAAUCAGCAUAUGUGUUAGUGGAAGCGUCUGGAAAGGCGCGCGAUACAGGGUGACAGCCCCGUACACAAAAGCGCAUGUGCUGUGAGCUCGAUGAGUAGGGCGGGACACGUGGUAUCCUGUCUGAAUAUGGGGGGACCAUCCUCCAAGGCUAAAUACUCCUGACUGACCGAUAGUGAACCAGUACCGUGAGGGAAAGGCGAAAAGAACCCCGGCGAGGGGAGUGAAAAAGAACCUGAAACCGUGUACGUACAAGCAGUGGGAGCACCCUUUGGGGUGUGACUGCGUACCUUUUGUAUAAUGGGUCAGCGACUUAUAUUCUGUAGCAAGGUUAACCGAAUAGGGGAGCCGGAGGGAAACCGAGUCUUAAUUGGGCGUUAAGUUGCAGGGUAUAGACCCGAAACCCGGUGAUCUAGCCAUGGGCAGGUUGAAGGUUGGGUAACACUAACUGGAGGACCGAACCGACUAAUGUUGAAAAAUUAGCGGAUGACCUGUGGCUGGGGGUGAAAGGCCAAUCAAACCGGGAGAUAGCUGGUUCUCCCCGAAAGCUAUUUAGGUAGCGCCUCGUGAAUUCAUCUCCGGGGGUAGAGCACUGUUUCGGCUAGGGGGCCAUCCCGGCUUACCAACCCGAUGCAAACUGCGAAUACCGGAGAAUGUUAUCACGGGAGACACACGGCGGGUGCUAACGUCCGUCGUGAAGAGGGAAACAACCCAGACCGCCAGCUAAGGUCCCAAAGUCAUGGUUAAGUGGGAAACGAUGUGGGAAGGCCCAGACAGCCAGGAUGUUGGCUUAGAAGCAGCCAUCAUUUAAAGAAAGCGUAAUAGCUCACUGGUCGAGUCGGCCUGCGCGGAAGAUGUAACGGGGCUAAACCAUGCACCGAAGCUGCGGCAGCGACGCUGAUGCGUUGUUGGGUAGGGGAGCGUUCUGUAAGCCUGCGAAGGUGGCCUGUGAGGGUUGCUGGAGGUAUCAGAAGUGCGAAUGCUGACAUAAGUAACGAUAAAGCGGGUGAAAAGCCCGCUCGCCGGAAGACCAAGGGUUCCUGUCCAACGUUAAUCGGGGCAGGGUGAGUCGACCCCUAAGGCGAGGCCGAAAGGCGUAGUCGAUGGGAAACGGGUUAAUAUUCCCGUACUUGGUGUUACUGCGAAGGGGGGACGGAGAAGGCUAUGUUGGCCGGGCGACGGUUGUCCCGGUUUAAGCGUGUAGGUGUGUGUUCCAGGUAAAUCCGGUUCACUUUAACACUGAGGCGUGAUGACGAGGCACUACGGUGCUGAAGCAACAAAUGCCCUGCUUCCAGGAAAAGCCUCUAAGCAUCAGGUAACAUCAAAUCGUACCCCAAACCGACACAGGUGGUCAGGUAGAGAAUACCAAGGCGCUUGAGAGAACUCGGGUGAAGGAACUAGGCAAAAUGGUGCCGUAACUUCGGGAGAAGGCACGCUGACACGUAGGUGAAGUGAUUUACUCAUGGAGCUGAAGUCAGUCGAAGAUACCAGCUGGCUGCAACUGUUUAUUAAAAACACAGCACUGUGCAAACACGAAAGUGGACGUAUACGGUGUGACGCCUGCCCGGUGCCGGAAGGUUAAUUGAUGGGGUCAGCGCAAGCGAAGCUCCUGAUCGAAGCCCCGGUAAACGGCGGCCGUAACUAUAACGGUCCUAAGGUAGCGAAAUUCCUUGUCGGGUAAGUUCCGACCUGCACGAAUGGCGUAAUGAUGGCCAGGCUGUCUCCACCCGAGACUCAGUGAAAUUGAACUCGCUGUGAAGAUGCAGUGUACCCGCGGCAAGACGGAAAGACCCCGUGAACCUUUACUAUAGCUUGACACUGAACAUUGAGCCUUGAUGUGUAGGAUAGGUGGGAGGCUUUGAAGUGUGGACGCCAGUCUGCAUGGAGCCGGCCUUGAAAUACCACCCUUUAAUGUUUGAUGUUCUAACGUGGACCCGUGAUCCGGGUUGCGGACAGUGUCUGGUGGGUAGUUUGACUGGGGCGGUCUCCUCCUAAAGAGUAACGGAGGAGCACGAAGGUUGGCUAAUCCUGGUCGGACAUCAGGAGGUUAGUGCAAUGGCAUAAGCCAGCUUGACUGCGAGCGUGACGGCGCGAGCAGGUGCGAAAGCAGGUCAUAGUGAUCCGGUGGUUCUGAAUGGAAGGGCCAUCGCUCAACGGAUAAAAGGUACUCCGGGGAUAACAGGCUGAUACCGCCCAAGAGUUCAUAUCGACGGCGGUGUUUGGCACCUCGAUGUCGGCUCAUCACAUCCUGGGGCUGAAGUAGGUCCCAAGGGUAUGGCUGUUCGCCAUUUAAAGUGGUACGCGAGCUGGGUUUAGAACGUCGUGAGACAGUUCGGUCCCUAUCUGCCGUGGGCGCUGGAGAACUGAGGGGGGCUGCUCCUAGUACGAGAGGACCGGAGUGGACGCAUCACUGGUGUUCGGGUUGUCAUGCCAAUGGCACUGCCCGGUAGCUAAAUGCGGAAGAGAUAAGUGCUGAAAGCAUCUAAGCACGAAACUUGCCCCGAGAUGAGUUCUCCCUGAGACUUAGAGUCUCCUGAAGGAACGUUGAAGACGACGACGUUGAUAGGCCGGGUGUGUAAGCGCAGCGAUGCGUUGAGCUAACCGGUACUAAUGAACCGUGAGGCUUAACCUU
rnacentral:rRNA from 1 species